GGACCUUUAGCUCAGUUGGUUAGAGCGGCGGCCUUAUAAGCCGUGUCUGUCCUGGGUUCGAGUCCCAGAAGGUCUA
rnacentral:tRNA from 1 species